UACGUCCAUAUCAUGUUGAAACCCCAGUUCCCAUCGAAUCAGCAAAGUUAAGCAACGUCGAGCCUGUUCAGUACUAGAUGUGUGGCUAUUUGGAAAUACCAGAUAUUGCAAG